UACGUAGGCAGCGAGCGUUGUUCGGAGUUACUGGGCGUAAAGAGUGCGUAGGCGGUUUUCUAAGUUUGGUGUGAAAUCUCCCGGCUCAACUGGGAGGGUGCGCCGAAGACUGGAAGGCUUGAGUAUGGGAGAGGUAAGCGGAAUUCCUGGUGUAGCGGUGAAAUGCGUAGAGAUCCCGAGGAACUCCUGUGGCGAAGGCGACUUGCUGGGCCUGCUUUGACACUCAGACGCGAAAGCAUGGGGAGCGAACGGG
rnacentral:rRNA from 1 species